rnacentral:rRNA from 1 species
AAAUUGAAGAGUUUGAUCAUGGCUCAGAUUGAACGCUGGCGGCAGGCCUAACACAUGCAAGUCGAACGGUAACAGGAAGAAGCUUGCUUCUUUGCUGACGAGUGGCGGACGGGUGAGUAAUGUCUGGGAAACUGCCUGAUGGAGGGGGAUAACUACUGGAAACGGUAGCUAAUACCGCAUAACGUCGCAAGACCAAAGAGGGGGACCUUCGGGCCUCUUGCCAUCGGAUGUGCCCAGAUGGGAUUAGCUAGUAGGUGGGGUAACGGCUCACCUAGGCGACGAUCCCUAGCUGGUCUGAGAGGAUGACCAGCCACACUGGAACUGAGACACGGUCCAGACUCCUACGGGAGGCAGCAGUGGGGAA